rnacentral:rRNA from 1 species
CCCUUAGAUGUUCUGGGCCGCACGCGCGCUACACUGAUGCAUUCAACGAGCCUAUCCUUGACCGACAGGUCCGGGUAAUCUUUGAAUCUGCAUCGUGACGGGGAUAGAUUAUUGCAAUUAUUAGUCUUCAACGAGGAAUGCCUAGUAGGCGCAAGUCACCAGCUUGCGUCGAUUACGUCCCUGCCCUUUGUACACACCGCCCGUCGCUCCUACCGAUUGGGUGUGCUGGUGAAAUGUUCGGAUCGGCCGUUUGUCGCGGUUUCCGCGUCAUGUGGCUGAGAAGUUCAUUAAACCCUCCCACCUAGAGGAAGGAGAAGUCGUAACA